rnacentral:tRNA from 1 species
GGGGUUGUAGCUCAGUGGUGGAGCAUUUGACUAGCAUGUAUGAAACACUGAGUUCGAUUCUCAGCACCACA